UUUAGUUUGAGUAUCGGGAUUAAAGUUUUUUUUUUUAUCAGCAGGGAUUAAAGUUUUAUACAUACGCGUAAUAGUCUAUACUUAUUCAAUAUUAUUAUCUAAAAUUUAAAACUUAAGUUUUAUUUUCUUCUAUCUUUGGUAACCUAAUUAAAAUUUGAGAAGUUCAUAAAAAUUGGAAAGUAGAUUUUAUUUUUUCCUCCUCUCGUCCAAACGAUGUUGAUGUUGAUGUUUCGUUUGUGAACACUUGGCUCUAUAGUAGGGCUUUAGUAAUUUUAUCCUUUUUACCAUCUUAUCUUUUUUUUAACAUUAAGAUGAAUUCCAAUUAUGAAUAAUUUAAAAUUACAAAUAGAGAAACAGUUUUUAAAAGAACGAGAAAAUAAUUCAAAACUAAAUAACAAAUAUACAAAAACAACAUAUAGAAAAAUCCUAAAUUUAGGCACAAUGUACUAAAUAUUUUAAGUUUGUUUAGGGGUGAAUUAUACUUGGCUAAAUUUUCGAAAAAGCUAAAUUAGUCUAUCCUAACAAGAAAACAAUUGAUUCUUUUGUGAAAUAACAGAUUAAAUUUUUCUUAAAAAAAUAAUAUUAAUAGAUUAUUUUUCCAACUUUAGUUAUCCAAACAAAACAAUAGAUUAAAUCAUAAAAGAACAUAUUGAAUUUAUGGUUCAAGCAACAAACAUAAAUUUAGCAGAUUAAAUAUCAAAAUAACAAAUUUAAUUUCUGAUUUCAAUUAAGGCAGAAUAUAUUUCAAUCUUCAGUACCCUUCUCAUAAUUUCAAACAAACAAUAGCACAAUCAAAAAGUUUCAAUACCCUCCUCAUAAUUCCAAACAAACAAUAGCACAAUCAAAAAGCUAAGAACAUUAAAGCAACUUAAUUCAGAACAAACAAUACCACAAUCAAAAAGCUAAGAACAUUAAAGCAACUUAAUUCAGAGUUGAAAAAACAGAAACAUUAAGUGAAAAACAAUCGAUUGAAUUUUAAAAUAAUAAAUUGAUUUUUUUAUAUCAGUGAACACAAUCAUGCAAGAUAUUAAUGCAGUAAAGAGGAAAGCUUAAAAAACAGCAAGAUUUAUAUUCGUUCACUCAAAACUGAGCUACGUCCCGUCUCACCUCACGCUAUGAUGGAUUUCACUAAAUAUCACAAAUAUCUUUUUACAAAAGACUAUUCAAGAACAACUCUUGAACUCUACAAAAGCCAAAACACACACACACGGUAAAACUCUACCACAACUAUAUAACACUCCAAGAAACUCUAUCUUGGAUCUAAAACCACAAAAUUAUCAAAACAACAAAGUGUAGGAACGAAAUUACCUUUGCUUUGAAUCAAGAGACUCAAAA
rnacentral:lncRNA from 1 species